rnacentral:rRNA from 1 species
UACGUAGGGGGGCAAGCGUUGUCCGGAAUCAUUGGGCGUAAAGCGCGUGUAGGCGGCCAGAAAAGUCCGCUGUGAAAACUCGAGGCUCAACUUCGAGCUGUCGGUGGAAACUUUCUGGCUAGAGUCCGGAAGAGGAGAAGAGUACUCGUGGUGUGAGCGGUGAAAUGCGCAGAUAUCAGGAAGAACACCCGUGGCGAAGGCAGGUCACUGGGCCGCAACUGACGCUGAGGAGCGAAAGCAUGGGGAGCGAACAGG